rnacentral:rRNA from 1 species
AGGUAAUAUUUAUUAAAAAAACCUAUUUCCUUUGGCGGCCUUUUUACCUAUCAGAGGAACCUGUUAUAAUCGACAAUACGCGUUAAAUUUUUCUUUUCCAUCUAUUAGCUUUUAUACCGCCGUCUUAAGAAUUAGCUUAAUUGCCAACUCAGCAUAAUAACGUUUCUAAGUCAGGUCAAGGUGAAGCUCAUUGGUAAGUUAAUAAUGGGUUACUUAUUAUUCUCAUUAAUGGACAAUUAUCAAAAGAUAACUGAUAAAAAGGAUUUGUUAGUAAUAAUAUAUGAUAAUACCUUAUUAUGAAAAAGAAAUCAGGUGU